rnacentral:rRNA from 15 species
UGUCAGGUUAAGUCCUAUAACGAGCGCAACCCCUGUUGUUAGUUACCAGCACGUAGUGGUGGGGACUCUAACAAGACUGCCGGUGCAAACCGUGAGGAAGGUGGGGAUGACGUCAAAUCAUCACGGCCCUUACGUCCAGGGCUACACACGUGCUACAAUGGACGGUACAAAGGGUCGCCAACCCGCGAGGGGGAGCCAAUCCCAUAAAGCCGUUCGUAGUCCGGAUCGCAGUCUGCAACUCGACUGCGUGAAGUCGGAAUCGCUAGUAAUCGUGGAUCAGCAUUGCCACGGUGAAUACGUUCCCGGGCCUUGUACACACCGCCCGUCACACCAUGGGAGUUGGUUGCACCAGAAGCAGGUAGUCUAACCUUC